AGCUGAAGGAAGUUCUUGGCUGAGAAGCAAAAUGUCUUCAAAAGAAACACAAAGUCCAGUUGCCUCCUGCAAAAAGCACCUUUGGGACAACCAUACCUGGAUGACUUGAGAAUCCCCAUAGACAUUCUGGAAAAACAAAAUGUCAGAGCACAUCUGCCUGCACAGGGAGCCAAAGUAGCGCCUGGGUAUAAAGCAUUCAAGGACAGAACAACCUUGUUAUUCUGAAGCCAUUCCUGGUCCACAAAACAGAGAAGCCCUCUGUGUUCAGAAACUUAAGCAAACUUUGUUUAUUACCAAUUCAUUCAAAAAGCUUGGAUGACACAAGUUCUCUCUGAGAAUUGGUUUAGGGGUUGGUUCAUAUCCCAAGUAAAGAAAUAUUGCUUUGACAACAGAAUUCCUAUUAAAGCAAUCUCCACCUAUAUCUAUAAAGGUAAUUUAUUUACCCCCAAACACUCUCCCUCCCCGCCCCCUGUCUCUUUCAGCUUAAGAUCCAGGAAGCUCUUGCAACAUUUGCUGAAGUCACAGUUGCAGUGGAGAAUGAAGCACUAAUGUUGUGUGACUUUUGGAAAGGCUGCAAGAUCCUCAUUUUAUCAAUAAUCUUGCAGCAGCAUGGCAGAAUGUUGCUGCAAAAUUCAGGCAAGAAAUUUUGAAAAACUGUUUAAAAAUGUGCUGCUCUUUGAAGGAUUUGACCAUGACAAAGAAACCAGGACAUCUUGACCUUUAUGGAAUAAUUUGAUUUAGAGUUUGAUGCUCUCUGCCACCAGAUGGCGCCCUUUGCCCACUUGGUCAGAAGAAACUGCUGAGCCAGCAGGACUGAGCUGUUGUGAGGACUGGCAUUCUGGAAUGGGUGGCCUUUACAGGAGGCCUCCCCCUUCCUGUCUGCACAUGGGAUGAUCCUGCCAGGGGUCAGGAUCACAAGAAAUGCAAGGUUAGGAUCAGGUUGUGACCCAGUCCUUUUCCUAGGUACAAAGCAACUCUGACGCUAGGGCUCUAUAUGACAGUGCCUAGUUGGUCUCUCUCUGGCCCCUCGGACACAAUGCCUGCUAACAGAUGCUUGCUCUUGGGUCAACUUCUGAUUUCCCUUUGCUUUGAUAGUCUACUCGAUGCUAUGUGGUUAUUUCCAUUCCUUGAUGGUUGCAGGAAUCCUCCACCAUCCAGAAUCACUGCCAGUGCUGCUCAGAAGAGCUAUGGGCUUCUCUUGAGACAGACUCGUCAAAAAUUGGGCUAAAUGUUGAAAACUGUUUAGCCUAAUGAAGAGAAGGGUUCAAGAGAUAGCAGCCUUCCAGUUCUUGGAGGGAAGAAGAUGUUGACUUAUUCUCCAAAGCCUCUGAGGCAGGACAAGAAGCAGUGGAUGGAAGCUCGUCAGAGGGAGAUCCAGUCUGGAACUAGAGCAAUUUCCUGAAAGGGAGAACAAUCAGCGGAGCAGCCUGCCUCCUGGAAUUGUGGGUCCCCACCAUUGGAGGUUUUCCAGAAGUUUCGCCCAUCCUGUUCUUUUAAUCAAGCAUCCACAUCUACACACACGGUCUGUUUUAUUGGAGGAUAGGUGCAUGUCAAGCUGCACACAGAGUAACAUGUAGUGAGGACAGAACAGUCCAGUCUUUAUUCAGAAACCUCCUUCUCUGCCUCAGAAAGAUCAAAACUAAAGAAGUAGAAGAAUUGAAACAAAGAUUUACAGAGCAUCUAGAAUAGCACAAAACUAACAGAAUAAAGAAGGCGGCAUUGAAGCUUGUUCCAAAGAAACAGCAACUAUUAAAAGAUGUCAAUAUUGUAAUAUUAGAUAUAAGCAUCAGCUCACUGCAAGAAACCAACCAACCAAUGAACAGCACAGCUGGGAUGCAAAAUCAACAAAGGAAAAAAAAAAAGCCAAACUGCCCCACCAAAAUGGAAGAUCAGGCUGGAAAAUAAGAUCUGCAAGCUGAGAACAGAUGCAAGCAAACUAAAACAGAUGAAAGAAAAGAAGCUGUAGGAGAAGAGCAGGCAGAGCUGGGGAUGGAGUUAAUUGCUGAAUUUCUUUCUCUAUACACAUUUUGAAAUUCCAUGCAACCUAUAAAGUUUUGCUUUAUAAAAUGCAAAGUAUAAUUUUGCAAUUCCAACAUCACAAAAUUAUUUUGUGAGAUGCAAUAAGUAAACCAUCAUUACAACCAUGUUUCUGUAAUGUGCUAAAAUUGAUAUAUUCUGGGGAAAAGUCUUUAAAUUGCUGACUGUAAACAUGUACAUAUAUAGGAAAUUCUUCACCAGAAUACAAGCUGUCUUCAGAAACUCUAGGAACUCUGGUAAAAAGCUAAAGCUAAACAAUUCCACCUUCGUUAUACUAGGUAUAAAUUGAUCUGGAAAAUUGCUUUAGCAAGCUUUCAAGAUUUAGUUACAUUAAAACAAUACAGUAGUUCUUUCUGAGUUUGCUAUAAGGCUUGACAGAGGACAGGACCUCUUAAUUCUGAUUCUGUGUCUGCCUUAUUUCAGAAGGAAAAUUGGGCUGUAACCGUUAAUGAAAGAAGGAGGGAACCGCAUCUGAGGAGAGACUAAAUGAACUGCUUCAAUUUAAUACAAGUCUCCAAGGCCAUAUGGAUUAUAUCCUAGGAUGUGAAAGGAUCUUCUGGAGAGUCUACAGAAGGACCCUUACAGACCAUCUAAUUUAAUCCCGAUAGGUGACAUCCGGCCUCCCUUUGAAAGCUUUUAAGAAGAAAUCAGAGUUUUGAAGUAAUUAAGCAUCUUUAAAUCUUAACUCUCUUCUGAAAAUGUGAUUUACCAUAUUAAAAAUAUUCAAAAAAUAUGGAACAGAUAGAUGCCAUGAUGAAAUAGUGUUUAACUUAACCUAAACUAAAAAGGUUCUUUUCUUAAAAUGGAAAUUAGGAACUUGAGUUUUCCUUGGGAGACAAUGCUGGGGUCAUUGGUAGCUCAUUGACCAGUUGGCAGGGAUGGCCUCUGAAGGGCUUCUGCAGGGGCAAAGUGGGGCACCGAAGGAACCCGCCCAACUGGGGGCUGAACCCCAUCCUCCCUCGCCCUUCCUCAGUCUCACCUCAGGAGCAGCACUGGGAUCUCUUCCCUGCAAGUCACACUCCUUGGCUGCAGUGAGCAAAAGGGAACUGGGCCCCGGAGCCCUGAUUAGAGUCCAGCGUGGGAAAAUCAAAAAGGAGAAGAGCUCUCGCAUUGAAAAUUAAGGUUAGCUGAAGCAAAGGGAACAGGUGGCCUUGAUUCUGACAUACAGUGAUGGGGUUGCUGUUUUUCAUACAGAAAUGCAAGUUUACAUGCUAAAUUACUCUGAGUCAGAGUUGACUGAGAUACUGUCACAAUGGGACAUUUGCACAACAAACCAAAUGUUUGAUUUAAUGUGUUAUCUUAAGCUUCUCAGUCCAUAAAGGCCUUUGCCGUCACAAUCUUGGUAGGAAACCAAAAUCCAGGAGACCAAGAUGGAGAAGAAGCCGCCCCACUGCUCAUGAACCUGGUGCAAUUCAAAAGAAGUCAGAAAAUAUUUCAGAAAUCCUAAAAAACAUGAAGAAUAUUUCAACCUUGCUGAAUGGUUGAGGCUUCUCAUUUUGCAGUCCACGAAUAUAUACUAAAUCUGCUUGCUUAUGGUGUGGAAUUAUGUGGCACCGAAGCUGCUUGCAUUGCUGCAAUGGCACUUGGCUCUACCCAGAGGGUGGCUGAAUAGGGCUGUUUUGCAUUGAGCUCAUAUUUCUCAAGAACCCCAGUCCUGGGAAGGACGGGCAAUUCACCUCCCUCCCUGCCUCUUUCUGUCAUUUACAAGAACCAGAGCAACUGAUGAGUGCCCAGAGUUCUCCCGUGGUAACAUGGGUGGCCAAUAGAUUUAAUAAAUAAAUAAAUAAACCUGUGUCUUUGUCGGGCUCCAAAGUAAUGUAUCCUCAGUUAUUUUAGCUUUAUAGCUUUCUUUGUGGCCUGCCAUUCUGUUGGGAGGGGGGAGGCUUUGCACUGUCUGCUUUGUUGCCUUGUUGUCCUCCCCCCCCCCCCAUGGAAGGUCCCACCCUUAUCUGAGAGGCGGUUUGCACUUGGAGCCGGAAGAAAUCGAAAGCGAGAGAGACCUUGAGCCUGCCAACACUGAUGCCACCUGUGGAUUGGCUCGGAUUCAAAUGGACACUGGGACAUGGGGGGAGAGGAGUAUUGAAUGCUACUUUUAAUAUAUCACUUUGUGGGUUUUUCUCUCAGAUCUCGCCUUGAUUCCCUGCUGUCACUGGCCCCUAAUAAAAGUUUCCUUUUGAAACAAUGCUUGUUUCAAGAGUUCUGCUUUCUUGGGUGGCUUAGCUGAGGUAGGUCCUUAUAUUCUGUUUCUGCCAAUCGGUGAGAUAGGCCUGAACGGGAUCAUUUCCGUCAGAGUCCCUGGAGACCUUUCCUGCCGAAUCAGGGCUUGUUUCUCACAGCUUUUCCAACCAGAUAUCCCUGGGAGGGCGUCCUGCUUGUCAUAAUAAGUGGAGUUCUCCAGCAACCAGCACAAAGAAGCAGGUAAUAUGCAAACACCACGAAUGUCUCUUCCUUAAUUGCUCAUUCUUCUGGCUUGAAUUUUCCACCAUUCAUCUUUGUGUUCGGACGUGCCUUGACUCAAUCCUCCCAGUGUAUCUCCCUGAGGAGCCCAGGAUGGGGACAGUGGAGGACGGUGUCAACUUUAGAAGGAGCGUGGCUACAGCCAUUUUUUCCUUCUCAGUUCCAACUGACACACAGCAUGGAGGGAGGGGAGUUGCCAAGUGUUGCGCUAGACAAAACAGGCUUUCUCUCUUCAACUUUUCUCUCAUGGGAAUCAAGGUCAUUUGCUGCUCCCGAAACUGUAGGCUGGGCGCUUCGUGAAAAGCCCACCAACAAGCUGCGUGGGGAACCGUAGUUGCUUGCAUAGCUUUUAGGGUUGGGAUUUCUUAACUUUGUAUUGGGGAAUUGUUAUGCAUCUCUUCAGACUUUUGAAGUGUGGAUACUUUGUAUCAAUAAACAUGUUCUUUGAGGAA